rnacentral:rRNA from 1 species
AGGGAAUCUUCGGCAAUGGACGGAAGUCUGACCGAGCAACGCCGCGUGAGUGAAGAAGGUUUUCGGAUCGUAAAGCUCUGUUGUAAGAGAAGAACGAGUGUGAGAGUGGAAAGUUCACACUGUGACGGUAUCUUACCAGAAAGGGACGGCUAACUACGUGCCAGCAGCCGCGGUAAUACGUAGGUCCCGAGCGUUGUCCGGAUUUAUUGGGCGUAAAGCGAGCGCAGGCGGUUAGAUAAGUCUGAAGUUAAAGGCUGUGGCUUAACCAUAGUACGCUUUGGAAACUGUUUAACUUGAGUGCAAGAGGGGAGAGUGGAAUUCCAUGUGUAGCGGUGAAAUGCGUAGAUAUAUGGAGGAACACCGGUGGCGAAAGCGGCUCUCUGGCUUGUAACUGACGCUGAGGCUCGAAAGCGCGGGGAGCAAACAGGAUUAGAUACCCUGGUAGUCCACGCUGUAAACGAUGAGUGCUAGGUGUUAGACCCUUUCCGGGGUUUAGUGCCGUAGCUAACGCAUUAAGCACUCCGCCUGGGGAGUACGACCGCAAGGUUG